UACGUAGGGACCGAGCGUUGUCCGGAAUCAUUGGGCGUAAAGAGCGUGUAGGCGGCUAUUUAAGUCCUGCGUGAAAUCCUGCGGCUCAACCGCAGACGGUCGUGGGAAACUGGAUGGCUAGAGUGCGGGAGAGGAGAGUGGAAUUCCCGGUGUAGCGGUGAAAUGCGCAGAUAUCAGGAGGAACACCGGUGGCGAAGGCGGGUCUCUGGGCCGUAACUGACGCUGAGGAGCGAAAGCGUGGGGAGCGAACAGG
rnacentral:rRNA from 1 species